UGGGGAAUAUUGGGCAAUGGGGGAAACCCUGACCCAGCAACGCCGCGUGAAGGAAGAAGGCCUUCGGGUUGUAAACUUCUUUUACCAGGGACGAAAAAAGUGACGGUACCUGGAGAAAAAGCAACGGCUAACUACGUGCCAGCAGCCGCGGUAAUACGUAGGUUGCAAGCGUUGUCCGGAUUUACUGGGUGUAAAGGGCGUGUAGGCGGAGAUGCAAGUUGGGAGUGAAAUCCAUGGGCUCAACCCAUGAACUGCUCUCAAAACUGUAUCCCUUGAGUAUCGGAGAGGCAAGCGGAAUUCCUAGUGUAGCGGUGAAAUGCGUAGACAUUAGGAGGAACACCAGUGGCGAAGGCGGCUUGCUGGACGACAACUGACGCUGAGGCGCGAAAGCGUGGGGAGCAAACAGGAUUAGAUACCCUGGUAGU
rnacentral:rRNA from 1 species